AAUAAUUAAUGCUAAUUGCUGCGCAGUACCACCGUAAUUAGUCCGGCAGUUCUACGGUUAAUGAAGCCUCAAAUCGAAAAGCGUUUCUCUAGCUUUUUUGCUUGGAAUGGUCUCGUCUGCCAGCCUGUGAGGUUUGGCAUACCAUUUCUGAAACAACCUGUAUAUUGUAAGCAAAAGCUUUCUUUGCUAUUCCAUCUUCUUCCUGUUUUACUUAUACCAGAGUUUUGUAAUUGUGACGUAAUGAUAUUAUAUAAUGAUGGCUUUAUAUUAGAUUUCAAAUGAGACUGUUUUGUUGAAUAACGUCAUGGAGUGUUAUAGAAAAAUAACCUUUUUUCAAUCUGUAGAGUGAUAAUUUGUAUUUUUGAAUCUUCUGGUUUUAGAGGUCCAUUUAUACUAGCAUACCUCAGAAUCAAAGUUUGGUAAUUUAAAGGAAAAUUUAUCCAGAUGUGAUAAAUUUUCCUUUACUUCAAACCCAUCACUUGGAAUGCAAGUUCUACAGUUUCAUCUAUUGAUUCAGCAGAAGUUAUAGGAAUGGCUGAUACUUUGUAACUGGAACUGCCUCCAUUACAUUCCAUAUCUACAUUGAAGUUUUCCUCCAGUGUGCUAAAAAGAAAAGUGAAUUAAAAUUAUAAUCUAAAACAUAUUGUAAUGUUAUUUCUGCUGCACUAUUGGUAGUAUAAAUUGUAUAUUAUUUAGGUUAUGUUGAUAUUUCUUUAUGC
rnacentral:lncRNA from 1 species